AAUAACACACUGGUGACACUGGAGAAUAACUAGAAGUGGGAGAUUCUGAUGAUAUAUAAGUUGGAGACAUCAUUUUUCUUGUAUUGUCAUAAAGACUGACUGGGCAGAAAUAAUUCACCCCUUAUGUUCAAGAGAGAUGCUUAAUAAUUUGCAAGGCGCUUUUAUAAAGCCGUUUGUAUCAUAUUUGAUACGUGAGAUUCUGAGACGUCUCUUUUUUCUAAACCAAAAUCAAGUGUGGCAGACCACUGUCCUCUCCAGAACCAACUCCAACAGCACCCCGUAAAAGAGGCUGCAGUGUGCCUCUUGUGCUAAAAAGUGCUAUGCAAAAAAAAAACAAAGAGAAAAAUGUUGUUGUUCAUGUUCUAUAUUGUCAAAAUGUUAUGGGCAAACUUUGUUUUUGUGUCUAAAGUUAACAUAGUCGUGAGCUAAAAGUUGCCAAAAUCGCCUAAUGUAUCAUAUUUGAUACAAAAAAAAGUCAUAAACAAAAUUAAAAAAAAAUUGGGAUUUUGUUAAAAGGUUCAAUAAACAUCUCAUUUCCAAAAAAUUAGAAUUUUCUGGGUAUUUUUUGAUGUGUCCGGCUUUAAAGGGUUUUAAACUACAUCCUGCCUACAUGACUAGACUCUCUUCUCAAAAAAGAGAGACCUGCAAAUGUAUCUUCUCAGAAAAGGCCUGUAGAUGCACACAUCCGCUUUUGCAGCAUAAAAUCAGCGUGAGUGCUGCUCGGUGCCCAGGCUGACAGGAAGCAAGCUGCCUGUUAGACUGUGCCUUGAAACCUCAAUAAGAAAACAAGAAAGACACAUGCGCUUAGGGUCUUAAUUCUCAACAGAUCUCCUGCUAUAAACUUCCCACAACAAAGGUGAGAAAAUCAAGUCAUAGUUUCUAGUAUGGAACCUAAAAAACAAUGGUUUUACAAGCUGAAACAUGCAUUUAGCAAGAGUCGUCUUGCACCCAAAGUGGCUUUGGGUUUUAUCCUCACGGGACUAGAGAAGCUGAUGGGGCUGGAGUUUGAGUGUCCUUGCAGUCCUAAAAGGAACAAACUGUUUUCAUCAGCAUUCUUCAUCGUUCCCGCCAUCAUGGUCUUCAUCUUGAUGUUGAUCACUCAAAAAUGCAGAUGUGAUAAGUCCAGCGGAUUCACAUGGUAUGAGUGGUUCAAGAAGACUGUGUCCAGUUUCGUGCCUGCUUUCGUGUGGCUGAUCUUGUUGUUCUUCGACGGCCAGUACUUCACCUGUGCUAUGACAGACUGGAAGGGUAGAUUUGUGCUCAUUGACAAGGCAGCUCGACAGAAGUGGUGUGAGCCAAUUAGUGAAGGAAAUUUCACCACACAAGAGCUGAUGCUCCGCUCACAAGAGUGGAUUUAUGAGUCUCAGGUUAUAGCCAUAUCCCUCCUCAUCGUCCUCUGUCUGAGUCUCACAGUGUACCUAAUCCUAAAUUGUUGCCAAGAGAAGAAGCAGACGGAUCCCACUGAGGAAAUGGAACUUCAGCAAAUGUCUUGAAAAGCCUUUUCAAAAGUGCAGUCAGGACGCUUUGACAAAAGGUUUUCCCCUAAAGCAGCUCGUGGGUCUUCAUGGCUCUGUUGUCCGCGUGGAUAUAACUGUGCUUCUGUUUUUAUUCUGCAUUACCAGCGAGUAUGUGAUCGGCAUCAUGGGCUCGUUUCUCAUUAUUUGGUUUCACUUUUAUUUCUGAAUCAGUUUGUUUUGUUGAGCAGAAUCCUGUUGACAUCAGCAACAUCCCACUAAAAACAAGAGAUCACCAGGAAUCUUCAUCCCAUCAAUCAAAAUGGACACAUUUAAUUGUUUAAUACAUUUUUUUUAUUUAACUUUCCAUGAUUUUCCUUAGUUUUAGCUUAACUAACACAGGUGGUAAUGACCAGGCAGCUAAUAUCAAUCUGAUGCAUAUUUGUUUGAGUGGUUGUUAACGACUAAAUGUAUAAUUUCACUUUAAAUAUAUUUGUUUUUUCACGUAACCAUAAUUCAGGUCAAACUAGAUUAAUGAUUGAUCAUCAAGAUCAACAGGUUGUGGAAAUAUUUUGUGUUACAAAUUGUGGGGCUUGUUUUUUGUUCUUUGAUAAAAGUAUUGAUUGGAAUAAAGCCCUCGGAAAGUGUCUCAAUGACUCAAUGAUGACUGAGAUGAUCGUCAUGACUCAUCCUAAUUAUUUUAUUAUUCCUGUUUUAAAUAAUAUUCUUGGAAUCAAACUAAAUGCACUUUUCAUAACUUGAUGUGAAAUCACCAGGAGCCAUUUGGUUAGAAACAAUAUUCUUUUCCAAGUUACCUGAACAAGACCAACAGUUUUAUAAUAUUUUUAUUUCAAUACAACAUUAUUCACACAAUAUGUGAAAUUUGCUGGUAGAUAAUGAAUUUGCAAGUUCUAGUUCUAAGUUCUGAUAGAAUCAAUUCUGAAUUAAUCUGAAUUAAUUAAUCUUUUUUUUUUAUUCUUGCUUAAUUUUUGCUCUCACCCAUCUAGAACACAAGCAUCGUACUAGAGCAGCAAAGGUCAUGAAAAUGAGCAGCGUGAUUCCAGCUAAGAAGAGCAUCACGUCUACAGAGUGAUAGGAAUACCAGGGCAGCCUGUAGGACUCAGUCCUCAGGUGAGCUGCACCUUUGUGUCUCAUGACAAACUCUAUCCAGAAGAGGGCGCUGUCCAUCGGCUUCAUCGGCGCGUCUCUGUGCAGUCUGGAGAGCCUCUGCAUGUUCAUCCUGUAGGAGGGAUCGUUCAAAACUUCCUGAAUACCUUGAAAGAAGAUCUCUUCAGUCAUAGUAUAAAAAUCCAGGACCUUCCCUGCACCCCUCAAUUCAAGUCUAUUUAUAUUAUCAUUUUGAUCAUAAAUCAGAGGAAGUCCAAUGAUGGGGACUCCGUGAUACAGAGCUUCCUCAACUCCGCUCGUUCCUCCAUGAGCCACAAACAGCUUUGUUUUGGGAUGUCCUAAUUGAUCAUUCUGUGGCAUCCAGUCCACCAGUAAAGUGUAAUCACAUCUGUAAUCACAUCGUCUGGUAGCACGCACGAUCACACUCUCUGCUCUGCACUCACUACAUGUACAAAAUCCAAAGAUUAAAGAACGCAGCUGUGGAAACGCUGGUUCUUUAUUGAAGAGGAUUUCCUGCGAUAUGAAUUAGGACGGACUUUUGGAUGAAAGUCGUCUUUUUAUUGGACUUUGUCAUUGAUUGUUUGGACUGAACCGGACGGUUUGCUAACCGGACGGAUUGCUAACAUGGCGUCCGACAGGAGGAACAUCAGAGAUCAUCAGACCGUGAGUUACGAUUUUACACGGAACACAGACACUUUGAAGAGCAGACAUCGGUGCGGAGGAUCUUAAUUUUUUUUUUAAAGUUUUAUCGAUCUCGCGGAGUCACCUGCCCGCUGCUAGCGCCGGCUUGUUUUUAGCCACGGUGCUAACCUGGACUCACCUCCGUGUGCUGGCACGGUGCCUAGUGUGGCUGUC
ensembl:lncRNA